UACGAAGGGGGCUAGCGUUGUUCGGAAUUACUGGGCGUAAAGGGCGCGUAGGCUGUGCUGUAAGUCAGGGGUGAAAUCCCGGGGCUCAACCCCGGAACUGCCUUUGAUACUGAUAGUCUCGAGUCCGGAAGAGGUGAGUGGAAUUCCGAGUGUAGAGGUGAAAUUCGUAGAUAUUCGGAGGAACACCAGUGGCGAAGGCGGCUCACUGGUCCGGUACUGACGCUGAGGUGCGAAAGCGUGGGGAGCAAACAGG
rnacentral:rRNA from 1 species